rnacentral:sRNA from 1 species
UUUUCCCGAGCCUUUCGGGGAGCCACGCCGGCCCUGCGCCGUUGUCCGGGGAAACUUUGCGUCCCAGGGCCGCACCGGGCCGUCGUGACCCCACGCGCCGCGCCGCCACCGGGCUCGGAAAACCCAGCGCCCCCGGGCUCUUUGGCAGUUGCGACUCCGAACGAAGGCGGCUCCGUGCGGGCCAUCCCCUAUCUCCCCGGCAUCUCCCCAGCUGCUGCCCGUGCGGGUCUCGCUCCCUCGGCUGCAGAACACAUAGCUUCGCCUUCUGCCCUAGCUGGUGACGGAGUAGAAGCUUCCACUCCCUCCUGCCCAGAUCCGGCCAAGGACCUCAGCAGGAGUUCUGAUUCUGAAGAGGCAUUUGAGACCCCGGAGUCAACGACCCCUGUCAAAGCUCCGCCAGCUCCACCCCCGCCACCCCCCGAAGUCAUCCCAGAACCUGAGGUCAGCGCACAGCCACCUGUGGAAGAACCAGGAUGUGGUUCUGAGACAGUCCCUGUCCCUGAUGGCCCACGGAGCGACUCGGUGGAAGGAAGUCCCUUCCGUCCCCCGUCACACUCCUUCUCUGCCGUCUUCGAUGAAGACAAGCCGAUAGCCAGCAGCGGGACUUACAACUUGGACUUUGACAACAUUGAGCUUGUGGAUACC